UUUAUUGUUAUUUACUUUUUUUAUUUUCUUAUUUAUUUUUAAUUUGAAUUAAAUUAUUUGUUUUUGUUUUAGUAUUAUUUUGAAUUAAUAUUUUUUGUGAUAGUUUAUUUGUACUGUUAAGGGUUGUUUAUGUUAAUUUUUAAAGUAUAUUUUUAUAGUACCUUUUGUAUCAGGGUUUAUUUAUUUAAUUUUAUUUAUUUAUUUAUCUCGAAUUAAUUAGAUUUAUUUAGUUAUGUUAUUUAUAGUUUCAUAUAUAUUAAAUAUAACUAAAUAGGUGUGAUAUGCUAUUCGUUAAUUAAUAUAUCUAGUUUUCUAAUAAUUUAAUUUAAUUUAGCCAUUUUAUUUUAAUCUUUUAAUUUUAAUAUAGAUUAUUAUUUUAUGGUAAUUCUAUAGGGGAUUAGCUCUGUAGUAGUUAUUAUAAUUUUUGUUUUUUAAUAUAAUGUAGGUUUUAUAAUGACCAUUAUUAAUUAGUAUUUUAUAAUUUAUUAUUGUUUUAUUUUUGAUUUUUUAUUAAAUUUAAUUAUUUAUUUGAAUGAAUUAAUUAAUUUUUUAUUGUUUUUAAUAAUGAUUUAAUUAGUAUAUUUUUGUUUAUAUUGUUAUUUUUAUGUAAUAUAUUUGUAAGGAAUUAGGCAAAUAUGUUUAUUCGCCUGUUUAUCAAAAACAUCUCUUCUUGGUUUUAUUUGAGGUUUGACCUGCCCAAUGAUUUUAUUUAAUGGCCGCGGUAAUUUGACCGUGCAAAGGUAGCAUAAUCAUUAGUUUAUUAAUUGUGGACUUGUAUGAAUGGUUGGACGAAAUAUUUACUGUCUCAUAUUUUAUUUAUAGAAUUUAAAUUUUAAGUUAAAAUGCUUAAAUUUUUUUAUUGGACGAGAAGACCCUAUAGAUCUUUAUUUUUAUUUUUGUUUGUAUUUUUGGUUUAUUUUAGUAUAAAUUUGAUAUAAUGUUUUGUUGGGGUGACAGGAGGAUAUUAUUAACUCCUUUUUUUAUUUUACAUUUAUUCUUGAUUUUUUGACCUUUUAUUAUUGUUUUAAGAUAUAGAUACCUUAGGGAUAACAGCGUAAUUCUUUUUGAGAGUUCAUAUCGACGAAGGAGAUUGCGACCUCGAUGUUGGAUUAAAAUUAUAUUUAGGUGUAGUAGCUUAUUGUAUGGGUCUGUUCGACCCUUAAAAUUUUACAUGAUCUGAGUUCAAACCGGCGUGAGCCAGGUUGGUUUCUAUCCAUAAUUAUAUUUAUUUAUAUUAGUACGAAAGGACCAUAUAGGUUAAAUAAUUUAUUUAUUUGAUUAGUCUUA
rnacentral:rRNA from 1 species